GGCUGGUCUGAAGGUAGUGAGUUAUCGCAAUUGAUGGUUCACAGUUAGUUACAGAUCAAACUCUUUGUUCUACUCUUUUCCCCUUCUCACUACUGCAGUUGACUAGUCUUUA
rnacentral:Y_RNA from 1 species